GAUGAACGCUAGCGGCGUGCCUAAUACAUGCAAGUCGAGCGAACAGACGAGGAGCUUGCUCCUCUGACGUUAGCGGCGGACGGGUGAGUAACACGUGGAUAACCUACCUAUAAGACUGGGAUAACUUCGGGAAACCGGAGCUAAUACCGGAUAAUAUAUUGAACCGCAUGGUUCAAUAGUGAAAGACGGUUUUGCUGUCACUUAUAGAUGGAUCCGCGCCGCAUUAGCUAGUUGGUAAGGUAACGGCUUACCAAGGCAACGAUGCGUAGCCGACCUGAGAGGGUGAUCGGCCACACUGGAACUAAGACACGGUCCAGACUCCUACGGGAGGCAGCAGUAGGGAAUCUUCCGCAAUGGGCGAAAGCCUGACGGAGCAACGCCGCGUGAGUGAUGAAGGUCUUCGGAUCGUAAAACUCUGUUAUUAGGGAAGAACAAAUGUGUAAGUAACUAUGCACGUCUUGACGGUACCUAAUCAGAAAGCCACGGCUAACUACGUG
rnacentral:rRNA from 1 species